CAGCCGCCGCGGUAAUACGUAUGUCACGAGCGUUGUCCGGAUUUAUUGGGCGCAAAGCGAGCGCAGGCGGUUAGGUAAGUCUGAAGUUAAAGGCUGUGGCUUAACCAUAGUACGCUUUGGAAACUGUUUAACUUGUGUGCAAGAGGGGAGAGUGGAAUUCCAUGUGUAGCGGUGGAAUGCGUAGAUAUAUGGAGGAACACCGGUGGCGAAAGCGGCUCUCUGGCUUGUAACUGACGCUGAGGCUCGAAAGCGUGGGGCGCAAACAGGAUUAGAUACCCGUGUAGUCCCUGUCUCUUAUACA
rnacentral:rRNA from 1 species